UUUGAUCACAACACGAAUGCAAAAAUAUCCAAUCCUCAAGAGGAAUCUAAGGCGAAUAAUUUUUUAAGUAAAAUUAUUUAUCGUUUUUAUUUUGGUCCUGCAAAGAAACUUCAAAUCACACAAUGUUCAUCAUUUCAAGAUGUUGAAGUUGGUUGUAAAGAUUCAAAACUAAGCACAACAGCCCAGACGAGGAUGAUGGAAAUGAAAAUGGCCCAUUAAGGACGAGUCCAACCCAAAGAAGGUGCUAGUGCUACUACUGCAGGGGAAGAGGAAGAUACUUCCUCUGAAAUCAGAACCUCCAAAAUUACAUGCAUGAGGAGAAAAUCAGUGAGAGGAUGAAGAUUCUCCAAGAUGUUGUACCAAGUUACAAUAAGAGGUGCAGGUAAGUUAAAUCAGUAUUUAUGCUUCACUGUAGUUUAAUUUUUUUAGUAUUUUGCAUAAAGGUAUGUGGCAUAUAGGAACAGUUUUUUUAGUAUGUUGAUCAAUGUAUAGUAAUAAUAAAAGUUUUUAUUCUUUUGAGAGACAAA